CUGCUUGCAAGGCAGCACAUAUACUAAAAUUGGAACAAUACAGAGAAAAUUAGCAUGGCCCCUGCGCAACACAGCGUUUAAACAAACAAACAAACAAAAAAAGU